rnacentral:rRNA from 1 species
AGUGAACGCUGGCGGUAGGCCUAACACAUGCAAGUCGAACGGCAGCACAGUAAGAGCUUGCUCUUACGGGUGGCGAGUGGCGGACGGGUGAGGAAUACACCGGAAUCUACUUUUUCGUGGGGGAUAACGUAGGGAAACUUACGCUAAUACCGCAUACGACCUACGGGUGAAAGCAGGGGAUCUUCGGACCUUGCGCGAUUGAAUGAGCCGAUGUCGGAUUAGCUAGUUGGCGGGGUAAGGGCCCACCAAGGCGACGAUCCGUAGCUGGUCUGAGAGGAUGAUCAGCCACGCUGGAACUGAGACACGGUCCAGACUCCUACGGGAGGCAGCAGUGGGGAAUAUUGGACAAUGGGCGCAAGCCUGAUCCAGCCAUACCGCGUGGGUGAAGAAGGCCUUCGGGUUGUAAAGCCCUUUUGUUGGGAAAGAAAAGCAGCAGGUUAAUACCCCGCUGUUCUGACGGUACCCAAAGAAUAAGCACCGGCUAACUUCGUG